AGGAAAGAGUGCUCUAAAAAUGGUCUAGUGGUGAUGGGGGCUGGAGCUGGGCUCAAGUGGUAGAGCACUUGCCUUUCCCGUGUGAGGCACUGGGUUCCAUCCUCAGAACCACAUAAAAAUAAAUAAAGUUAUUGGGUUCAUCUUCAACUAAAAAAAAAUUUUAAAAUGGUUUAGUGGUGUCCAUCUGUGUAUAAAAUCAUUAAUGAUGCUUUAAAGGGCUAAUAAUUCCUGACAUAAAAUUUAAAAAAGGGGGGGGGAACUUUUGUAACUGUACAUGGGUUUGUAGCUAUAUAACCAAAAACAACAAAGAAAAUACCAAAACUAAGUGUAGAGUUUUUGUUCUUGCCUGUGAAUGAUCAAUCUUGUAGGUGAAGUUCAGAAGUCGCCACAUUUCUUUGGUUACUGGUUUAUUAUUUCUGGUUCUUUUGCCUCAGUCUUUCAUCAAAACAGAGAAUUUGUAUUUUUUUUAAUUAAACUGAUAUUACCUUAUAUCUACAUUUACAUUAACCUUUCUUUUUUUUUUUUCUUUUAUUUUGCAGUAUUGAGAAUUGAACCCAGGGGUACUCUACUGUUGAGCUACAACAUAUCCCCAGUCCUUUUUAAUUUUUAUUUUGAGUCAGGGAUUUGCUAAAUUGCCCAGGUUGACCUUGACUUUGUGAUCUUCCCAUCUCAGCCUCCCAGGUAGCUAGGGUUACAGGCAUGUACCAGCUUACCUAGCUACAUCUUUUUUUUUUUUUUUUUUUAAUUGCUGUAAAUGGAUUUUUUUCUCUUGAUGGUGAAGAAUUUUUGCUGUCAGCUAUGGGUUAGAAGUCCCUCAGCUUGAGCUAGAGUUUCACUUUGCUUUUCCCUUGUAUCUGAGAAUGACCCUAAUAUGAUGUCCGACGCACAAAGGAGGUUGACACAUGGCUUUUGGACCUGCGCAGUGAAAGAUCAGUAUUCCCUAUAGCUUCUUAGGAGGGCCUGGCACCUGCCUGCUUUCAGCAGAGGUCCUUGAGUGGGCUGAUCACCCGACCGUUCUUCCUCCCACAGUCGUGUCCUAACUCUGCUGUCUUCAGUGUCUUGGCUUCUUAGCUCCCUCGACUUGGGAACAAGCUUGACUGCUGGCCUGAUUGAUACCAAGAUUGGCGGAGAGCGUCUUCCAGGCAGUAAUUGUGGCACUAUCGCAGGUCUGGGUCUGUGGAAGGAAAAGGCACUGGCUUUUUAGACAUUCAGACCUGGGAGUCACAUUCUGGCCCUGCUGUGUAAUCUCUUAUAAUCCUGAACAAGGUGCUUAAUGUUCCCCAGCUGUUUUCUGUCAUGAAAUGUUGAUGGAUUUUGGAUUGGCUCUGGUUUUUGACUAUUACAGAUCAAGCUGCUGUACACAUUUCAUGUCCAAUUUUUUACGUAGAUGUGUGUGUUCCUUCUCUUGGGUUUUUAUCCAGGAGUAUCUUAGGAAGUUGUCUGACUGUUUCCAUGAUGGUUACGCCAGGUUCCAUCCGCAGGGCAGUGUGUGCAGGUCCUCCCGCCCUGGCCGCUCUCUCCGGCAGCCUUCAUUCUAGCCCUUCUGCUCAGUGCGAGGUUUCUUUGAGGUUUGAAUUUGCUUCUCAUUAAUGGCUAAUGAUGUCUGUCUUCUCAUGUGCUCAUUUGCUGUCUGUUGCUUUGGUAAAGUGCCUUUCCACAUCUUUAGCUCCUGGUUUUGUUGGAACACCUUCCCAAGUUUUAGAGUUGUUUAUAUAUCCAGAUACAAGCCCUUUCUCAGAUACUCAGACAAGUUCCAUAUCUGCGACUUGUCUUUUCAUUGUCUUAAUGGUGCAAUUAGAAGAGCAGAAGUUUUGAGUUUUCUGUUUUAUUGUUUUAUCACAGAGGCCCUUUAUUAGGCUGAGAAGUUUCCCUGACUUUGUUGAUAGCUUAAGGAAAGUAGGAAUGGGUGUUAGAUUUUGUUGAAUACUUUAUUCUAUGUUUAUUGAGAGGAUUUGAUUUUUUUUUUCUCUUUUAGUUUUUCAGUUUAAUGAGUUACAGUGGCUUUUUGAAUAAGUAUUAUUAAUUAUUCACCAGCCACCACAGCAGGUACAGCAUCCUGUGGCAUACCCACCCCGCAACGCUGCAGCUUCAUUCAGCCCUCAAACAUGAACUUUCAGGGGAAAGAAGAGGCAGGUAGCGUACUUACUUUAAGUGAUCAUGCCAAAAUGUUACUGCUAGGAUCUGAAUUUAAAUUAAAAGUCAGAUUCAUUAUCAUCUUUUCUUUAAAUAUAAAAUUUGUUUUGGUAGAAAUAACUCAUUUUUUUCAAGACUUUAUUUAUUGGGGAUUGAUGGUAAUUUGGUCCUGAAUAGUUCAAAUUUUAUAUUUGAACUACUAGGGAAGAAAGGGUUUAUGUGGUGGCACAUACCUGUAAUCCCCAGAAACCUGGGAGGUUGAUGCAGGAGGUUCACAAGUUCAAGGCCAGCCUGGCAACUUAGCAAGACCCUGUCUCAAAAUAAAAAAUAGAAAGGGCUGGGGAUGUAGCUCAAUGAUAAAGUGCCCUUGGUUCAAUCUACAGAACAACAACAACAACAAAAAGGUAAAGAAGAAAGAGUCUUUGUAACCAAAAUGAUUGGAUUAUUAAGACUAUAAGGAAACCAUUCUCUCUGAAGGGAACGAAGGACAUGCUUAUAAAAUCCACACGUACAGGCCUUUGAUAGGCUGCAUACUUCUGUAUCACAGGGUUUAGAAAACAUGACCUUGGUAACCAGUUGGAAAAUAAACAUGCCACUGCCCUUUAUAUUUACUUAUUGUAUGUUUGUCCCUCAGAAUCUAUCAGGAUUGUUUCCAGGACCCCCUUGGAUACCAAGUCUGUGAAUGCUCAGGCCCCUUUUAUCAAAUGCCAGAUUUGCCCAUUAUCUGUGCACAUCCUCCUGUAUGACUUCAGUCAUUUCCAGAUGACUUACGAUGCCCAAUACAAUGUAAAUGCUAUGUAAAUAGUUGUUAGGCUGUAUUAUUUGGGAAAUAAUGAAAUCUGUGUGGUUUAGUACAUAGGCCAGUUUUUUUUUGUUUGUUUGUUUGUUUUUGUUUUUAGUACUUUGGAUCUGAGGUUGACUUAAUAUUUGACUAAAUCAUACUUCAGAACAUCUGGACAAGGAGGUAAACUAUACC
rnacentral:lncRNA from 1 species